GCAUUAAAAAUAUGAAUUUAAAAAAAAAAUCAGGGACCAUAACGGUUAUGAUCUUUAUAAUAGAAAUAAUAAUUUAGCCGUUAAAAUUUUAAUUAUUUUUUUCUGGUCAA